UUUGUACUCCCUCCGUCCCAAAAUUCUUGUCUUAAAUUUGUCUAAAUAAGGAUGUAUCUAGUUACAUUUUAGUGUUAGAUACAUCCGUAUCUAAACAAAUGUAAGACAAGAAUUUUGGGACGGAGGGAAUACUAC
rnacentral:pre_miRNA from 1 species